rnacentral:rRNA from 1 species
UACGUAGGGUGCAAGCGUUAAUCGGAAUUACUGGGCGUAAGGCGUGCGCAGGCGGUGAUGUAAGACAGUUGUGAAAUCCCCGGGCUCAACCUGGGAACUGCAUCUGUGACUGCAUCGCUGGAGUGCGGCAGAGGGGGAUGGAAUUCCGCGUGUAGCAGUGAAAUGCGUAGAUAUGCGGAGGAACACCGAUGGCGAAGGCAAUCCCCUGGGCCUGCACUGACGCUCAUGCACGAAAGCGUGGGGAGCAAACAGG